GUAAAGUGGCGUACGGGUGAGUAACACGUGGAUGAUCUACCUCUUAGUGGGGGAUAACCUUGGGAAACCGGGGCAAUACCGCAUAAGCCUGAAAAGGGAAAGGAGCAAUUCGCUGAGAGAGGAGUCCGCGGCUGAUUAGCUAGUUGGUGAGGUAACGGCCCACCAAGGCAAUGAUCGGUAGCCGGCCUGAGAGGGCACACGGCCACACUGGCACUGAAACACGGGCCAG
rnacentral:rRNA from 1 species